rnacentral:rRNA from 1 species
GACGAACGCUGGCGGCGUGCUUAACACAUGCAAGUCGAACGGAAAGGCCCUGCUUUUGUGGGUUGCUCGAGUGGCGAACGGGUGAGUGACACGUGAGUAACAUGCCCUUGACUUUGGGAUAACUUCAGGAAACUGCGGCUAAUACCGGAUAUGAGCUCCUGCUGCAUGUUGGGGGUUGGAAAGUUUCGGCGGUUGGGGAUGGACUCGCUGCUUAUCAGCUUGUUGGUGGGGUAGUGGCUUACCAAGGCUUUGACGGGUAGCCGGCCUGAGAGGGUGACCGGCGACAAUAGGACUGCGAUACGGACCAGAAUCCUACGGUCGGCAGUGGUGGGGAAUAUGGCAGAGUGGGCGGAAGCGUGAGACAGCAACGUCGGGAGCGUGAAGAUGGGUUAUGAGUUGUAAACAGCUUUCGACUGAGACGAAGCGUGAGUGACGGUAAUGAGUAAAGAAGCACCGGCUAACUACGUG